rnacentral:rRNA from 1 species
GAUGAACGCUGGCGGCGUGCCUAAUAUAUGCAAGUCGAGCGAACGGACGAGAAGCUUGCUUCUCUGAUGUUAGCAGCGGACGGGUGAGUAACACGUGGAUAACCUACCUAUAAGACUGGGAUAACUUCGGGAAACCGGAGCUAAUACCGGAUAAUAUUUUGAACCGCAUGGUUCAAAAGUGAAAGACGGUCUUGCUGUCACUUAUAGAUGGAUCCGCGCUGCAUUAGCUAGUUGGUAAGGUAACGGCUUACCAAGGCAACGAUGCAUAGCCGACCUGAGAGGGUGAUCGGCCACACUGGAACUGAGACACGGUCCAGACUCCUACGGGAGGCAGCAGUAGGGAAUCUUCCGCAAUGGGCGAAAGCCUGACGGAGCAACGCCGCGUGAGUGAUGAAGGUCUUCGGAUCGUAAAACUCUGUUAUUAGGGAAGAACAUAUGUGUAAGUAACUGUGCACAUCUUGACGGUACCUAAUCAGAAAGCCACGGCUAACUACGUG